rnacentral:rRNA from 1 species
UGUCUCAACGAGAGACCCGGUGAAAUUAUACUAUGCGUGAAGAUGCGCAUUACCCGCGACAGGACGGAAAGACCCCGUGGAGCUUUACUGUAGCCUGAUAUUGAAUGUUGGUACAACUUGUACAGGAUAGGUGGGAGCCUAAGAAGCCGGAGCACUAGCUUCGGUGGAGGCGUCGGUGGGAUACCACCCUGGCUGUACGGACCUUCUAACCCAGAACCGUGAUCCGGUUCGGAGACAGUGUCAGGUGGGCAGUUUGACUGGGGCGGUCGCCUCCCAAAGAGUAACGGAGGCGCC